rnacentral:rRNA from 1 species
AAUCUGGCGUCUUUCAGUCGUCCGAGUUGUAAUUUGGAGGAGCGUCUUCAGGAGCAGGCACCGUCCUAAGUUCUUUUGGAACUGGACGUCAUAGAGGGUGAGAAUCCCGUGCCUGGGCGGUUGUCUGUUCCGAUGUGAAAGUGCUUCCGACGAGUCGAGUUGUUUGGGAAUGCAGCUCAAAAUGGGUGGUAAAUUUCAUCUAAAGCUAAAUAUUGGCGAGAGACCGAUAGCGCACAAGUAGAGUGAUCGAAAGAUGAAAAGCACUUUGAAAAGAGAGUUAAACAGUACGUGAAAUUGUUGAAAGGGAAGCGCUUGAGAUCAAAUUUGGCCUAUGGUGAUCCGUUGGGCCCUUAUCGGUCUGGCGGCUCAUCGCCACUGGUCAGGCCAGCAUCGGUUCUGACGGCGGGAAAAACGGGCAGGGAAUGUGGCUCCUCUCGGGGAGUGUUUAUAGACCUGGUCUUUGAUAUCGCCAGUUGGGACCGAGGACCGCGCCUUCGGGCUAGGAUGCU